AACGAACGCUGGCGGCAGGCUUAACACAUGCAAGUCGAACGCAUCCUUCGGGGUGAGUGGCAGACGGGUGAGUAACGCGUGGGAACGUGCCCUUCAGUUCGGGAUAACCCAGGGAAACUUGGGCUAAUACCGGAUACGUGCGAGAGCAGAAAGAUUUAUCGCUGAAGGAUCGGCCCGCGUCUGAUUAGCUAGUUGGUGGGGCAAUGGCCCACCAAGGCGACGAUCAGUAGCUGGUCUGAGAGGAUGAUCAGCCACAUUGGGACUGAGACACGGCCCAAACUCCUACGGGAGGCAGCAGUGGGGAAUAUUGGACAAUGGGCGCAAGCCUGAUCCAGCCAUGCCGCGUGAGUGAUGAAGGCCUUAGGGUUGUAAAGCUCUUUCGUCCGGGACGAUAAUGACGGUACCGGAAGAAGAAGCCCCGGCUAACUUCGUGCCGGCCGCCGCGGUAA
rnacentral:rRNA from 1 species